CUGCGAACAUUUCUCGCCUGUAUGACCUGCUUUUGUGGUCAAGUCAGGGCUAGUAGUUCGCUAAAUUAACACCAGCACGAGAUCUAGCAGACCUGACAAUGACAUUUGGUCUGUUCUCACCCUGCACCCGUUGGUUACAAUA
ensembl:snoRNA SNORA72 Small nucleolar RNA SNORA72